rnacentral:lncRNA from 1 species
UUGGGAAGAAAAAAUCGGGAACUUAUGAGGACCGGGUAUUUUCAUCUCAAAAAAAAGAAAUACUCUCGAGGAUCGGAAAUUAAACUUACUGAAAUUGUUGGUUAGGUUGUUAUGAGAUUAGUCAAUAGGGAUUUAUUGUUAUACUGGAGUCUUUUAAAGGGUGGAGAAUUAAUUUCUCCUUGUUUCUCUUUUUUUUAAAUAAAUAUUUCAUUAAUUACGAAUAUAGAUACAUCUAAUAAAAUCAAUAAACAACGGUUUCUAAAGUAUCCUAGGCAACUCUUUCUCUCUCCGGUAUAUAUAUAAGGUGCCUCUUGAAUGGCUUAUAUAUAUAUAUAUAUAUAUA